rnacentral:rRNA from 1 species
GUCGAAAAUGUUGUCUCUCUUGAGUGGAUCCUGAGUACGACGGAGCACGUGAAAUUCCGUCGGAAUCUGGGAGGACCAUCUCCUAAGGCUAAAUACUCUCUAGUGACCGAUAGUGAACCAGUACCGUGAGGGAAAGGUGAAAAGCACCCCGGAAGGGGAGUGAAAUAGAACCUGAAACCGUGUGCUUACAAGUAGUCAGAGCCCGUUAAUGGGUGAUGGCGUGCCUUUUGUAGAAUGAACCGGCGAGUUACGAUUUGAUGCAAGGUUAAGCAGUAAAUGUGGAGCCGUAGCGAAAGCGAGUCUGAAUAGGGCGUUUAGUAUUUGGUCGUAGACCCGAAACCAGGUGAUCUACCCUUGGUCAGGUUGAAGUUCAGGUAACACUGAAUGGAGGACCGAACCGACUUACGUUGAAAAGUGAGCGGAUGAACUGAGGGUAGCGGAGAAAUUCCAAUCGAACCUGGAGAUAGCUGGUUCUCUCCGAAAUAGCUUUAGGGCUAGCCUCAAGUGAUGAUUAUUGGAGGUAGAGCACUGUUUGGACGAGGGGCCCCUCUCGGGUUACCGAAUUCAGACAAACUCCGAAUGCCAAUUAAUUUAACUUGGGAGUCAGAACAUGGGUGAUAAGGUCCGUGUUCGAAAGGGAAACAGCCCAGACCACCAGCUAAGGUCCCAAAAUAUAUGUUAAGUGGAAAAGGAUGUGGCGUUGCCCAGACAACUAGGAUGUUGGCUUAGAAGCAGCCAUCAUUUAAAGAGUGCGUAAUAGCUCACUAGUCGAGUGACACUGCGCCGAAAAUGUACCGGGGCUAAACAUAUUACCGAAGCUGUGGAUUGUCCUUUGGACAAUGGUAGGAGAGCGUUCUAAGGGCGUUGAAGCAUGAUCGUAAGGACAUGUGGAGCGCUUAGAAGUGAGAAUGCCGGUGUGAGUAGCGAAAGACGGGUGAGAAUCCCGUCCACCGAUUGACUAAGGUUUCCAGAGGAAGGCUCGUCCGCUCUGGGUUAGUCGGGUCCUAAGCUGAGGCCGACAGGCGUAGGCGAUGGAUAACAGGUUGAUAUUCCUGUACCACCUAUAAUCGUUUUAAUCGAUGGGGGGAC